GACGAACGCUGGCGGCGUGCUUAACACAUGCAAGUCGAACGAAGUGGCGAACGGGUUAGUAACGCGUAAUCAACCUGCCCUUCAGAGGGGGACAACAGUUGGAAACGACUGCUAAUACCGCAUACUGAAGGAGGGGAUUGCGUCUGAUUGGCUAGUUGGAGGGGUAACGGCCCACCAAGGCGAAGAUCAGUAGCCGGGCUGAGAGGAUGAACGGACAAAUUGGGACGGAGAAACGGCCCAGACUCCUACGGGAGGCAGCAGUGGGGAAUAUUGGGCAAUGGGGGGAACCCUGAUCCAGCCAUGCCGCGGGGGGGAAGAAGGCCUUAUGGUUGUAAAGCACUUUAAGCGAGGAGGCGUUACUCGCAGAAUAAGCACCGGCUAACUCUGUGCCAGCAGCCGCGGUAAUAC
rnacentral:rRNA from 1 species